CCACAGGUUCACCUAGGGAAGGUGGAACAAUCCCAGAUGUUUUUAUGGGGCCUGGGAAUAAAAAGGACAUGAUCCUCAUACCCUCAGCAGAGCCUCAGGAAGGUUGCAAGACUUCAGAAAAGAAAUGGGACGCUACACCUAACCUACCCAUGAGCUUAAGACUUAAAUCAAACCUCUGGUCUAAGAAGCGUUGAGUCUGUUCUGUCUGUCAUCUCCCCUCCCUGUAAGCUGACCUCUAAGAAACCAAAGGUUGUGUGGAUAGUUCUGACUGGACAUGUAAAACAACCAGCUGUGAGGACAAAAAGGGAGAUCCUACAGGAGAUAGCAUAAUGAUAAAACCUCUGUGCUUCCCACUGCUGCUACAAAAAGACCAGAUUAAAAUUUUAUGACACUUU